GCAUGUCUCACUACUUGCUUUAACAAGGCGAAACCGCGAAUGGCUCAUUAAAUCAGUUAUGGUUCACUAGAUCGUAAAUCCUACACGGAUAACUGUGGUAAUUCUAGAGCUAAUACGUGCAAACGGCUCGUUCCCUUGUGGAGCGAGCGCAGUUAUUAGAACAAAACCAAUCCGGCCUUCGGGUCGGUUAAAAUGGUGACUCUGAAUAACCGAAGCGGAGCGUAUGGUCUCGUACCGACGCCAGAUCUUUCAAGUGACUGCUCUAUCAGCUUGUUGCUAGGUUAUGCUCCUAGCAAGGCUUCAACGGGUAACGGGGUAUCAGGGUCCGAUACCGGAGAGGGAGCCUGAGAAACGGCUACCACAUCCAAGGAAGGCAGCAGGCGCGCAAAUUACCCACUCCCAGCACGGGGAGGUAGUGACGAAAAAUAACGAUGCGAGGGCAUAUUGCUUCUCGUAAUCGGAAUGGGUACACUUUAAAUCCUUUAACGAGGAUCUAUUGGAGGGCAAGUCUGGUGCCAGCAGCCGCGGUAAUUCCAGCUCCAAUAGCGUAUAUUAAAGUUGCUGCGGUUAAAAAGCUCGUAGUUGGAUCUGGGCAGCUGGAUGUGCGGUGCGCUUUACAGCGUUACUGCUCGUUUGGCGCCACAAGCCGGCCAUGUCUUGCAUGCUCUUCACUGGGUGUGCUUGGCGACCGGAACGUUUACUUUGAAAAAAUUAGAGUGCUCAAAGCAGGCGUAUGGCCUUGCAUAAUGGUGCAUGGAAUAAUGGAAUAGGACCUCGGUUCUAUUUUGUUGGUUAUCGGAGCUCGAGGUAAUGAUUAAGAGGAACAGACGGGGGCAUUCGUAUUGCGGCGUUAGAGGU
rnacentral:rRNA from 1 species